CAUAAUCACCCAGCACCAAAUCACACAAAUGGGUGUGAUCUGUGAAGGUCAGAUGAUGUGUCCCAAUGAUAUAACCUGUCACUAUUAAUGCUAUAGAAAGCCUACACCUACAGGGUCCUGUAAUGUCCAAGUACUCCUGUAGGUGGCGCAAGGCUGCCAUAAUGACCUGAAAGCCUUGCCAGAAGACAGAUCGUGUAUGGCGCUUUCUAUGGCCGUGAUGACGUGGGACCGGAGACUGGCGCGCUGAACAUCAAGCUUCUAGGGGGUGCCGCGUGACACAGAG